CUCUGUCUCUGCUCCCCACCAGGCCAUCAACCUGCUGCCAGCCAACACUCAGAUCAGAGAGAUCCGUGUGUUCCUGGAGAGUGUUCUGGAGGAGAAGGCUCAGAGGAAACGCUUUGACCAGGUGCUCAAGAGCUUGCUGCAGGCUGAGUUCCUACGGGUCCAGGAGGAGCGUAUCUUUCACCAGCAGGUCAAGUGCACCAUCUCAGAAGAGAAGACCUGCCGGGUCUGUAAGAAGAAGAUAGGCAACAGCGCCUUCGCCAGGUAUCCCAACGGUGUUGUGGUUCAUUACUUCUGCUGUAAGGACCGAGGGGUGUGUCCUAUUGAGCAGUGACAC